GUGGCAGCAGCCGCGGUAAAACCAGCACCUCAAGUGGUCAGGAGGAUUAUUGGGCCUAAAGCAUCCGUAGCCGGCUCUGUAAGUUUUCGGUUAAAUCCAUGUGCUCAACACAUGGGCUGCCGAAAAUACUGCAUAGCUAGGGAGUGGGAGAGGUAGACGGUACUCGGUAGGAAGGGGUAAAAUCCUUNGAUCUAUCGAUGACCACCUGUGGCGAAGGCGGUCUACCAGAACACGUUCGACGGUGAGGGAUGAAAGCUGGGGGAGCAAACCGGAUUAGAUACCCGGGUAGUCCCAGCUGUAAACGAUGCAGACUCGAUGAUGCAUUGGCAUAUAGCCAGUGCAGUGUCGCAGGGAAGCCGUUAAGUCUGCCGCCUGGGAAGUACGUACGCAAGUAUGAAACUUAAAGGAAUUGGCGGGGGAGCACCACAAGGGGUGAAGCCUGCGGUUCAAUUGGAGUCAACGCCAGAAAUCUUACCCGGAGAGACAGCAGAAUGAAGGUCAAGCUGAAGACUUUACCAGACAAGCUGAGAGGUGGUGCAUGGCCGUCGCCAGCUCGUGCCGUGAGAUGUCCUGUUAAGUCAGGUAACGAGCGAGAUCCUCGCCACUAGUUGCUAUCAUUAUUCUCAGGAAUAGUGGGGCGAAUUAGUGGGACUGCCGUUGUUAAAACGGAGGAAGGAGGGGGCUACGGCAGGUCAGUAUGCCCCGAAACUCUGGGSCCACACGCGGGCUGCAAUGGUAGGGACAAUGAGCUCCAAACUCGAAAGAGAGUGGCAAUCUCUAAACGCUACCACAGUUAUGACUGAGGGCUGUAACUCGCCCUCACGAAUAUGGAAUCCCUAGUAACCGCGUGUCAUUACCGCGCGGUGAAUACGUCCCUGCUCCUUGCACACACCGCCCGUC
rnacentral:rRNA from 1 species